AACAACUUUGUGAAGGCUGAGAGAAGGACUGGAUCAAGGUCACUCACUGGGCUUUCAUGGUUGAGAUGGGACUCGUAGUUAAGGCAACAAUGAAAAGGAAGUAGACAACAGAAGCCUUGAGCUGAAAGGGACCUUGUCAGCAACAAGGAAGAAAUGGUCGUACAGCCAAUAUCCUUGGAUGAUCUCUCAGCGACCACUGAUGGUCCCAACUUCCAGGUUGAUGAACUGAGAGACUCCUUUGACUUUCAGACCCAGAAAUUCCAGAAAGAUAAUCAGUGGAUGAAAGAUCAGCACAGCUAUCUCCAGGAGAAAGUGGAUCAACUUAAGACCACAACAGACGAUCUGCAGAAGAUCAUGCCAUCAGUUAGAGCUAGAGAACAAAUCUUUGGUGAAAUACAUUAAAGAACUCUACAAAGAACUGCAUGAGGUUACUUAGCCAAGUGUCCAUCUCAAGUAAGAGAAGGCUGACUGAGAAAAACCUCAAAGAGGCGAGGAACUUUCUGCCAGACAUUAAGAAGCACCUCCAGAGUCUGCAACAUGAAGUGGCUGAGAUGGACCACAGUUAC